AACGCGAAGAACCUUACCUGGGUUUGACAUCCCUUGCUAGCCGUAGAGAUACGGGGUCUGUAGAAAUACAGCGAGGAGACAGGUGCUGCAUGGCUGUCGUCAGCUCGUGUGGUGACAUGUUGGGUUAAGUCCCGCAACGAGCGCAACCCCUGUCUUUAGUUGCCAGCAUUCAGUUGGGCACUCUAGAGAAACUGCCGUGGUUAACACGGAGGAAGGUGGGGAUGACGUCAAGUCCUCAUGGCCUUUAUAUCCAGGGCGACACACGUGAUACAAUGGACGGUACAAAGGGACGCCAAGAGGUGACUCGGAGCUAAUCUCAAAAAGCCGUUCUCAGUUCGGAUUGGAGUCUGCAACUCGACUCCAUGAAGUUGGAAUCGCUAGUAAUCGCGGAUCAGCACGCCGCGGUGAAUACGUUCCCGGGCCUUGUACACACCGAUAGC
rnacentral:rRNA from 1 species